rnacentral:rRNA from 1 species
UACGAAGGGGGCUAGCGUUGCUCGGAAUCACUGGCGUAAAGCGCGCGUAGGCGGCUCGGAAAGUCGGUCGUGAAAUGCCGGGGCUCAACCCCGGGACUGCGUCCGAUACUCUCGAGCUGGAGGCAGGUAGGGGAGAUCGGAAUUCCUGGUGUAGCGGUGAAAUGCGCAGACUAUCAGGAGGAACACCGGUGGCGAAGGCGAGUCUCUGGACAGUUACGUGACGCUGAGGCACGAAGGCCAGGGGAGCAAACGGG